ACAACCGCUCUCAACAUUUCUCUCUCGUACUCUCUCUUUUUUUUUUUAUCAGGGAAAAAACUUCAUCAAUUAAAAGGAAAACACGGCACAAGCAGUACCAGAUGACAGAGCAAGAAAAAAACAGAAAGGAGCCUGCGAAAGGCAAACCAGCAAACAGACAAAAACAACUCCAACGCUAGGACUCCAAAGAGAAAUUCAAGGCCUAGAAAUAAUCUGCUCUCCCAGGAACCAAGAUCUAAAAUCAGAGGAUGAAGUCGGCAGCUUGUAAGCAGAAAUCCAGCCCCAAACUCUCGCUUUAAUCUCAGCCAAAAUGUUGUCUUUACUCCAACUACCUUGAUUAAACUUGCAUUCGUUCAUUCCUUUCCACACACACCAAAUAACACAAAUCCAAAUACUCAAAAGAAUGUUAAAAUCUGCUUUUUCACCAAUGGAACUGAAGGCACCGAGGUGUUCUUUCGCUUUGAUGUUGCUCCCUCCCUUAAAAUCAACAUUUCUCUCUCGUACUCUCUUCUCUCGGUCCGACGUCUGGCGUUCAACGUCCUCCCCUCUCCGGCAUCAUACGCGGCUCGCGUUCGGCAUACUCUCUCGGUCCAUCUUCGUCACUCGCUUCGCUCGCUUUUGGCUCGAUCUGGCAUCCGAUGUUGCUCCCUCCCUUAGUCCCUCCAGCAUUGUCGGUGGCUCGCGUCCGGUGGCGCUCCCUUCCUUUGGUCUAGAUUCAGACUCAUUGGUUGCUGAGAUAGGUCAAAAAUUAAAAUUAAAAAAAUUCGAUGAAGAAGGAAAAAGGGUGAAAGAAAGUUUAUCUCGUUGUGUGUUUACCCAACUAAGGAUAUUGGGUGUGAUUGUGUGAAAGCCUCUGUUCACAGGCUGUUCAUUUUCUAGCAUAGUGACUAAAUCAAUUCAAAACUGAUCUACAUAAAUAUUAUUGCGAGGAAAGUAGCCUUAUGCAAGCAAAAAAGACUUCAAC
rnacentral:lncRNA from 1 species